rnacentral:snoRNA from 10 species
GAAUUCAUGAUGAGCUAUGUCUACUGAGCAUGAUGAAGUAAAGCUCGGUGUUUGAGUGCUCUGAAGUCC